rnacentral:rRNA from 1 species
UACGGAGGAUCCAAGCGUUAUCCGGAUUUAUUGGGUUUAAAGGGUGCGUAGGCGGCUUUUUAAGUCAGGGGUGAAAGACGGCAGCUCAACUGUCGCAGUGCCUUUGAUACUGAAGAGCUUGAAUGAACUUGAGGUAGGCGGAAUGUGACAAGUAGCGGUGAAAUGCAUAGAUAUGUCACAGAACACCGAUUGCGAAGGCAGCUUACUAAAGUUUAAUUGACGCUGAGGCACGAAAGCGUGGGGAUCAAACAGG